rnacentral:ncRNA from 1 species
AUUGUCGUGGUUCGCAAACCUCCCACGUUAAAAAACUAGGAACAU